AGGCCUACGGGACGCAGCAGUGGGGAAUAUUGGGCAAUGGGCGCAAGCCUGACCCAGCAACGCCGCGUGAAGGAAGAAGGCUUUCGGGUUGUAAACUUCUUUUGUCAGGGACGAAGCAAGUGACGGUACCUGACGAAUAAGCCACAGCUAACUACGUGACAGCAGCCGCGGUAAUACGUAGGUAGCAAGCGUUAUCCGGCUUUAUUGGGUGUAAAGGGCGUGUAGGCGGGAAUGCAAGUCAGAU
rnacentral:rRNA from 1 species